rnacentral:lncRNA from 1 species
CUUGUACAGGGUUUGGAUCUGCUGAUUUUCCUCUCCUUAGAGAUUGGAUUCAGCUCAAGAUGAAAUCUGCUCCUACAAGGUCUGGGGACACUAGGACAGCACAUGCCAAAAGCCACAGUGAGGCUAAGCAACUGGUUGCCUCUACAAACUGCCACUGGACACUUCUCUGACAACCCAGGGGCGCACUGAUGUCUGCCCACCCACUCCACCCAUGCCACAGAUUGAGUACGGCAGCAGCAGCAGCAGCAGCCGGCGACAAGCAGCACUUCAGCCACUUGGGCCAUGUUUCAGCCACCUGAGCACCCCUGAGACUUCCUCUGGAGGCACUGGCAGUAGUUCCAUCCUGCUUCCUGUGACUCACAGAAUUGAUGCAAACGUCUGCCAAAUACCACUGACACUUAAUAUACUCAGAUCGUGAAGAAGAAUUUAAUCCUCACAAUAACUCAUCUUUUCACUCUCAGCCUCUGGCUCUCCUAUUUGGGGAAGAGAAAUAUUCAGCAAGGCUGGUCAGAGAGGUUGGCUCAGUAUCCAGUUCCAGUCCCUGAGGUGGGCGCUAAUGGGUCUUUAAGUAUGUAAGUACCUUCUGUUGAAGUGUAUGACUUGCUUAUUUAGUUCAGUGAAUUAUCCUUGG